rnacentral:rRNA from 1 species
CGGACGGGUGAGUAAUGUCUGGGAAGCUGCCCGAUGGAGGGGGAUAACUACUGGAAACGGUAGCUAAUACCGCAUAACGUCGCAAGACCAAAGAGGGGACCUUCGGGCCUCUUGCCAUCGGAUGUGCCCAUAUGGGAUUAGCUUGUAGGUAAGGUAACGGCUUACCUAGGCGACGAUCCCUAGCUGGUCUGAGAGGAUGAUCAGCCACACUGGGACUGAGACACGGCCCAG